UUUUUUUUGUCGUUCUGGGAUCAAGCCAGGGCCUCACCCAUGCCAGGCAAGCGCUCUGCCUCUGAGCCACAUCCCCAGCACUUUUAAGGAGACACACUUGGAAGACUCUGGAAAAGACAGAAUCCAGCAGGGCUUGCCAACCAUGGUGACCCUCCUUUCCCUAUCCACACAGUCAGCUGGAAAAUUCAUGUGUCCGUCUCCCCUUAUCCUGUCAGCCAUAUGCCAAGGUCAUCAAAAGCACCAGUACCUUGCUAAUAGUGUUACACUAUGUGGCCAGAAAACGCAGCAUCCAGAAUGGGUGAGAUUCCUUGAGUGGGCACUAGAACCAGCGUCACGUGUGCCAGCACUCCUCUGUAAGUCCAAGGCAGUGGCAGUGGCAGUGGCAGCCAUGUCAACCCCCCGCCCCACCUCUGGAGGAACUGAGAGGGCUGAGAGCCUGGAGGGCUUUCUGGGAGACACAGGGAUAUCAAUAAGGAGAGCUAAAGUUCAGCUGUAUUUAUUU
rnacentral:lncRNA from 1 species